rnacentral:rRNA from 1 species
GAGUUUGAUCUUGGCUCAGAUUGAACGCUGGCGGCAUGCCUUACACAUGCAAGUCGAACGGCAGCACGGGAGCUUGCUCCUGGUGGCGAGUGGCGAACGGGUGAGUAAUGCAUCGGAACGUAUCCUGGAGUGGGGGAUAACGUGCGAAAGUUACGCUAAUACCGCAUAUUCUGUGAGCAGGAAAGCGGGGGACCUUCGGGCCUCGCGCUCUUGGAGCGGCCGAUGUCGGAUUAGCUAGUUGGUGAGGUAAAGGCUCACCAAGGCGACGAUCCGUAGCAGGUCUGAGAGGAUGAUCUGCCACACUGGAACUGAGACACGGUCCAGACUCCUACGGAGGCAGCAGUGGGGAAUUUUGGACAAUGGGGGCAACCCUGAUCCAGCCAUGCCGCGUGAGUGAAGAAGGCCU